rnacentral:rRNA from 1 species
ACUACACAGCUAGGCUCAAACACCAAACUUCCACAUAAUUAAACCUAAAACAUUUACAAUGAUAGUAUAGGCGAUAGAAAUAAACAUCUGAAGCAAUAGAAAAAGUACCGCAAGGGAAAGCUGAAAAAGAAAUUAAACAAACCAUAAAAGUAUAAAAAAGCAAGGAUUAUCCCCUGUACCUUUUGCAUCAUGAUCUAGUAAGUCAAUUAGAGGCAAAAAGACCUUAAGUCUCUCUCCCCGAAACUAAAUGAGCUAUUUAAGAGCAGCUACUAUGAGCAAACCCAUCUAUGUGGCAAAAUAGUGGGAAGACUCUUAAAUAGAGGCGACAAACCAAACGAAUUUAGUGAUAGCUGGUUACUUAAUAAACAAGUUUCAGCUUGACCUUAAACCAUUAUCAAAAUAAUAAUAAUACAGAUUAAAGUUCAAGAGCUAUUCAUUAGAGGUACAGCUCUUUUGAAAAAGGAAACAACCUACAUCAUUGGGUAAUGAUUAUAAUUUCUUUUUUUCCCAUUUAGUAGGCCUAAAAGCAGCCACCUACAAGAAAGCGUCACAGCUCACACAUUUAAAAUUUCAAUAAAAAACAUCAAAACCCACAAUAACCACUAAGUUAACCUAUACAGCAUAGGUAAAUUAAUACUAGAAUAAGUAAUAAGAAAACAUGAUUUUCUCCAUGCGAACCUAUAAAUCAGAUCGAACUAAUCACUGAUAAUGACCGAUCCUUUAUUAAUGGAAAUAAAAACUAAUAAUAAACAAGAAAAACAUUAAAACUAACUCGUUACCCCUACACAGGCUCGCAAAACGAAAGACUAAAAGAUAAAGAAGGAAUUCAGCAAACAUUAAACCUCGCCUGUUUACCAAAAACAUCGCCUCUAGCAAGACCAACAUUAGAGGUACUGCCUGCCCAGUGAAAACAUUUAACGGCCGCGGUAUUUUGACCGUGCAAAGGUAGCAUAAUCACUUGUCUUCUAAAUAAAGACUAGUAUGAACGGCAAAACGAAAGUUUAACUGUCUCCUUUAUCUACUCAAUGAAAUUGAUCACACAGUACAAAAGCUGUGAUAAAACAACAAGACGAGAAGACCCUAUGGAGCUUAAAACACACUAGAAAAUGCAAUUAUCAAUUUCAUGCAUCAAUUCCACACUGUUUUUGGUUGGGGCGACCACGGAGAACACCUACCCUCCGAGAUGUAUAUGUUAGGGACCAGCCCAAACAUCAGAAAACUGACAUAAUUGACCCAAUACUUUGACCAACGAACCAAGUUACCCUAGGGAUAACAGCGCAAUCCUCUUUAAGAGCCCAUAUCGACAAGAGGGCUUACGACCUCGAUGUUGGAUCAGGAUAACCUGACAGUGUAACCGCCGUCAAAGGUUUGUUUGUUCAACAAUUAAAAUCCUACGUGAUCUGAGUUCAGACCGGAGCAAUCCAGGUCAGUUUCUAUCUAUUACGUGAUUUUUUCUAGUACGAAAGGACCGAAAAAAUAUGGCCAAUGCUACACUCAUGCCAUCAAUAAAACUAAUGAAAUCAACUAAAUAAAACACAAUACACACCUCUAAAUAUAGAGGCU